rnacentral:rRNA from 1 species
GGGAAGAACAAGUGCUAGUUGAAUAAGCUGGCACCUUGACGGUACCUAACCAGAAAGCCACGGCUAACUACGUGCCAGCAGCCGCGGUAAUACGUAGGUGGCAAGCGUUAUCUGGAAUUAUUGGGCGUAAAGCGCGCGCAGGUGGUUUCUUAAGUCUGAUGUGAAAGCCCACGGCUCAACCGUGGAGGGUCAUUGGAAACUGGGAGACUUGAGUGCAGAAGAGGAAAGUGGAAUUCCAUGUGUAGCGGUGAAAUGCGUAGAGAUAUGGAGGAACACCAGUGGCGAAGGCGACUUUCUGGUCUGUAACUGACACUGAGGCGCGAAAGCGUGGGGAGCAAACAGGAUUAGAUACCCUGGUAGUCCACGCCGUAAACGAUGAGUGCUAAGUGUUAGAGGGUUUCCGCCCUUUAGUGCUGAAGUUAACGCAUUAAGCACUCCGCCUGGGGAGUACGGCCGCAAGGCUGAAACUCAA